UACGGAGGGUGCAAGCGUUACCCGGAAUUAUUGGGCGUAAAGGGCGCGUAGGCGGUCGUGUGCGUCGGAGGUGAAAUCCCCGGGCUUAACCCGGGAGCUGCCUCCGAUACGGCAUGGCUUGAGUCCGGGAGAGGGGAGCAGAAUUCCCAGUGUAGCGGUGAAAUGCGUAGAUAUUGGGAGGAAUACCGGUGGCGAAGGCGGCUCCCUGGACCGGUACUGACGCUGAGGCGCGAAAGCGUGGGUAGCAAACAGG
rnacentral:rRNA from 1 species